rnacentral:rRNA from 1 species
UACGAAGGGGGCUAGCGUUGCUCGGAAUCACUGGGCGUAAAGCGCACGUAGGCGGCUUGUUAAGUCAGGGGUGAAAUCCUGGAGCUCAACUCCAGAACUGCCCUUGAUACUGGCGAUCUUGAGUCCGGAAGAGGUGAGUGGAACUCCGAGUGUAGAGGUGAAAUUCGUAGAUAUUCGGAAGAACACCAGUGGCGAAGGCGGCUCACUGGUCCGGUACUGACGCUGAGGUGCGAAAGCGUGGGGAGCAAACAGG